rnacentral:rRNA from 1 species
AUGAACGCUGGCGGCGUGCCUAAUACAUGCCAGUCGAGCGAACAGACGAGGAGCUUGCUCCUUUGACGUUAGCGGCGGACGGGUGAGUAACACGUGGAUAACCUACCUAUAAGACUGGGAUAACUUCGGGAAACCGGAGCUAAUACCGGAUAACAUGUUGAACCGCAUGGUUCAACAGUGAAAGACGGUCUUGCUGUCACUUAUAGAUGGAUCCGCGCCGCAUUAGCUAGUUGGUAAGGUAACGGCUUACCAAGGCAACGAUGCGUAGCCGACCUGAGAGGGUGAUCGGCCACACUGGAACUGAGACACGGUCCAGACUCCUACGGGAGGCAGCAGUAGGGAAUCUUCCGCAAUGGGCGAAAGCCUGACGGAGCAACGCCGCGUGAGUGAAGAAGGUCUUCGGAUCGUAAAACUCUGUUAUUAGGGAAGAACAAAUGUGUAAGUAACUAUGCACGUCUUGACGGUACCUAAUCAGAAAGCCACGGCUAACUACGUG